CCUACGGGAGGCAGCAGUGGGGAAUAUUGGGCAAUGGAGGAAACUCUGACCCAGCGACGCCGCGUGAGGGAUGAAGGUCUUCGGAUUGUAAACCUCUUUCAGUAGGGAAGAAGCGAAAGUGACGGUACCUAAAGAAGAAGCACCGGCUAACUAUGUGCCAGCAGCCGCGGUAAUACAUAGGGUGCAAGCGUUGUCCGGAAUUAUUGGGCGUAAAGAGCUCGUAGGUCGUUUGUCGCGUCGAUUGUGAAAAUCUGAGGCUCAACCUCAGACCUGCAGUCGAUACGGGCAAACUAGAGUGUGGUAGGGGAGACUGGAAUUCCUGGUGUAGCGGUGGAAUGCGCAGAUAUCAGGAGGAACACCAAUGGCGAAGGCAGGUCUCUGGGCCAUAACUGACACUGAGGAGCGAAAGUGCGGGGAGCAAACAGGAUUAGAUACCCUGGUAGUCCACGCCCUAAACGAUGUCAACUGGUUGUUGGGUCUUUGCUGACUCAGUAACGAAGCUAACGCGUGAAGUUGACCGCCUGGGGAGUACGGCCGCAAGGUUGAAACUCAAAGGAAUUGACGG
rnacentral:rRNA from 1 species